ACGCUGGCGGCAGGCCUAACACAUGCAAGUCGAGCGCGCCUUCGGGCGAGCGGCGGACGGGUUAGUAACGCGUGGGAACGUGCCCAGAUCUACGGAAUAGCCACUGGAAACGGUGAGUAAUACCGUAUACGCCCUUCGGGGGAAAGAUUUAUCGGAUUUGGAUCGGCCCGCGUUAGAUUAGGUAGUUGGUGGGGUAACGGCCUACCAAGCCUACGAUCUAUAGCUGGUUUUAGAGGAUGAUCAGCAACACUGGGACUGAGACACGGCCCAGACCCCUACGGGAGGCAGCAGUGGGGAAUCUUGGACAAUGGGGGCAACCCUGAUCCAGCCAUGCCGCGUGAGUGAAGAAGGCCCUAGGGUCGUAAAACUCUUUCGCCUGUGAUGAUAAUGACAGUAGCAGGUAAAGAAACCCCGGCUAACUCCGUGCCAGCAGCCGCGGUAAUACGGAGGGGGUUAGCGUUGUUCGGAAUUACUGGGCGUAAAGCGCACGUAGGCGGAUUAGAAAGUUAGAGGUGAAAUCCCGGGGCUCAACCCCGGAACUGCCUUUAAACUACUAGUCUAGAGUUCGAGAGAGGUGAGUGGAAUUCC
rnacentral:rRNA from 1 species